UACAGAGGAGCCAAGCGUUGUCCGGAUUGACUGGGCGUAAAGCGCACGCAGGCGGAUGCGCGCGUGGGGUGUGAAAUCUGGCCGCUUAACGGCCAGGCGCCAUCCCAUACGGCGCGUCUGGAGUGAUGCAGAGGUCGAUGGAAUUGCCGGUGUAGUGGUGAAAUGCGUAGAGAUCGGCGAGGAACACCCAGGGGGAAACCAGUCGACUGGGCAUCUACUGACGCUGAGGUGCGAGAGCGUGGGGGAGCGAACCGG
rnacentral:rRNA from 1 species